GACAGAGGAUGCAAGCGUUAUCCGGAAUGAUUGGGCGUAAAGCGUCUGUAGGUGGCUUUUUAAGUCUGCCGUCAAAUCCCAGGGCUUAACCCUGGACAGGCGGUGGAAACUACCAAGCUGGAGUACGGUAGGGGCAGAGGGAAUUUCCGGUGGAGCGGUGAAAUGCGUAGAGAUCGGGAGGAACACCAGUGGCGAAGGCGGUGUUCUGGGCCAGUACUGACGCUGAGGAGCGAAAGCGUGGGGAGCGAACAGG
rnacentral:rRNA from 1 species